GUGCCAGCAGCCGCGGUAAUUCCAGCUCCAAUAGCGUAUAUUAAAGUUGUUGUGGUUAAAAAGCUCGUAGUUGAACCUUGGGCCUGGCUGGCCGGUCCGCCUCACCGCGUGCACUGGUCCGGCCGGGCCUUUCCCUCUGUGGAACCCCAUACCCUUCACUGGGCGUGGCGGGGAAACAGGACAUUUACUUUGAAAAAAUUAGAGUGCUCCAGGCAGGCCUAUGCUCGAAUACAUUAGCAUGGAAUAAUAAAAUAGGACGCGCGGUUCUAUUUUGUUGGUUUAUAGGACCGCCGUAAUGAUUAAUAGGGACAGUCGGGGGCAUCAGUAUUCAACUGUCAGAGGUGAAAUUCUUGGAUCAGUUGAAGACUAACUACUGCGAAAGCAUUUGCCAAGGAUGUUUUCAUUAAUCAGGAACGAAAGUUAGGGGAUCGAAGACGAUCAGAUACCGUCGUAGUCUUAACCAUAAACUACGCCGACUAGGGAUCGGACGGUGUUAUUCAUGACCCGUUCGGCACCUUACGAGAAAUCAAAGUGCUUGGGCUCCAGGGGGAGUAUGGUCGCAAGGCUGAAACUUAAAGAAAUUGACGGAAGGGCACCACCAGGGGUGGAGCCUGCGGCUUAAUUUGACUCAACACGGGGAAACUCACCAGGUCCAGACACAAUAAGGAUUGACAGAUUGAGAGCUCUUUCUUGAUUUUGUGGGUGGUGGUGCAUGACCGUUCUUAGUUGGUGGGGUGACUUGUCUGCUUAAUUGCGAUAACGAACGAGACCUUAACCUGCUAAAUAGCCCGCAUGCUCCGGCAGUGCGCUGGCUUCUUAGAGGGACUUUCGGCUCAAGCCGAAGGAAGUUUGAGGCAAUAACAGGUCUGUGAUGCCCUU
rnacentral:rRNA from 1 species